rnacentral:rRNA from 1 species
GUGGGUGGCAAGCGUUGUCCGGAAUUAUUGGGCGUAAAGCGCGCGCAGGCGGUCCUUUAAGUCUGAUGUGAAAGCCCACGGGCUCAACCGUGGAGGGUCAUUGGAAACUGGAGGACUUGAGUACAGAAGAGGAAAGCGGAAUUCCAAGUGUAGCGGUGAAAUGCGUAGAGAUUUGGAGGAACACCAGUGGCGAAGGCGGCUUUCUGGUCUGUAACUGACGCUGAGGCGCGAAAGCGUGGGGAGCAAACAGGAUUAGAUACCCUGGUAGUCCACGCCGUAAACGAUGAGUGCUAAGUGUUAGGGGGUUUCCGCCCCUUAGUGCUGCAGCUAACGCAUUAAGCACUCCGCCUGGGGAGUACGGCCGCAAAGGCUGA